rnacentral:rRNA from 1 species
UACGGGGGGGGCAAGCGUUGUUCGGAAUUACUGGGCGUAAAGGGCUCGUAGGCGGCCAACUAAGUCAUACGUGAAAUCCCUCGGCUUAACUGAGGAAGUGCGCCCGAAACUGCUUGGCUUGAGUACCGGAGAGGAUGGUGGAAUUCCCGAAGUAGAGGUGAAAUUCGUAGAUAUCGGGAGGAACACCGGUGGCGAAGGCGACCAUCUGGACGGAUACUGACGUUGAGACGCGAAAGCGUGGGUAGCAAACAGG